UGUUGUGCCCACUGCUGCACUCUGCCCACAGAAAGCUCCUGGAUGCGGUUUGUGCUGAACUGUGCCCACCCCUCAACUUCACAUCACUGCCCAUCUUUACCUUGAGCUGCCCAAACAAGGAACAUAUUGGGCUCUUUUGAAAGGAAUACUAAAGAUUGUUCAGGUUGUUGAGAGCACUGAGCAGAAGAUGUCUUUAAAGCGGAGGCUGCUUUCCAUGUUGCUGUGCUGUGCGCACUGUUUGGCAUCACUCUUCUGCCUUCACCCUGACAGAAACAACUGUGUGUCAAAUGGUGCCCGAAAUCUGGUAUCAGUUGUUCAGCAGCUGUACCAGCGUGUGAUGAGGCUCCUACGCACCACUCUGUGACAUCACAACUGCAUCAAACUACAACGAACAUCUACGGACUACUUAUCAUGAAAUCAGCAUUACUGACAUAAAACUCUGGUCAUUUGAGCGUGAGAACAUCAUUAAAAGGUUGAGGUGUUCAUUGCGAAUGAUGCUGGUGUGUAUUUGCAGGAGCACAGUCCUGUUAGAGAUGGAAAAAUCUUGCUUGCGAUAUGCCAUAUCAAAACGUACCUCAUGAUCUGAAUAAACAGAGCAAAUACACAGACAAAAUAGAGACCGAGUCAAUAGGUAAUUCUUUAGUUAAACACAGAGACACUAAUAUAAACAAAGACUUUGAAUAUACUAAUAUAAAUAUCCUUGCAAGGGACUGUGAAAUAACUUGGGUAAGUGUACCCUUUAAGCCCACUUUCAACUCUGAAGUCAAAUUAAAAGACGAGAAAGUCAUAUUUUAUGCUGGCCAUUAUUUAACCAAUUCAGUGAUUUGUUUAUUCCCUGACUUUUUUUUUUUAUUACAUACCAAUCACAUCUGCCAAUGUUGAGUUAGCCCCACUCAUGUGCAUGCUGUCUCAAGGGACCUCACACAAAGAAACCCAAAAACUCAGUUUCAGGACCCUUCAGAAAUCAACACAUUUCUGCAAU